GUCAUUUUUAAUUCUUUUUAUAUUUUCAAAUAUUUCUUCUAAGGUGUGUUCGACUUCAACGAACGCAUUUGAAGAUUUUGCAUCUUUAACGACAUCGUCAAUAUCAACAAAUUCUUUGCACUCGUUGUGGGUCUCUACAAUGCAUUUUUUACAACAUGGACAAUCAUGCUUGUUACAGUAUAUUUGGAACUUUUCGUUGUGGACUUUGCAAGUUUG
rnacentral:lncRNA from 1 species